rnacentral:ncRNA from 1 species
UUUAGGACGAUGAUGAGAAAGAGUACAAAGAGGAAUUGCGACUAGCGAGAAUGGGAUAGUGGAAGCCAUUUGCAAGGAGUAUUUGGAAGUGCGUCUCGGAGUUGAUUGGAAGAAAUUUGAAGUAUUUCAAUCCGUAUUGGCUGCGUUAAAGCUUUGAGCUGGAACGACAUGUCGUUCAAACAGAGUGGGACCGCGGAACCUUUCGUCUCUGGA